rnacentral:rRNA from 1 species
UGGGGAAUUUUGGACAAUGGGGGCAACCCUGAUCCAGCAAUGCCGCGUGAGUGAAGAAGGCCUUCGGGUUGUAAAGCUCUUUUGUCAGGGAAGAAACGGUAGUAGCGAAUAACUAUUACUAAUGACGGUACCUGAAGAAUAAGCACCGGCUAACUACGUGCCAGCAGCCGCGGUAAUACGUAAGGUGCAAGCGUUAAUCGGAAUUACUGGGCGUAAAGCGUGCGCAGGCGGUUGUGUAAGUCAGAUGUGAAAUCCCCGGGCUCAACCUGGGAAUUGCAUUUGAGACUGCACGGCUAGAGUGUGUCAGAGGGGGGUAGAAUUCCACGUGUAGCAGUGAAAUGCGUAGAUAUGUGGAGGAAUACCGAUGGCGAAGGCAGCCCCCUGGGAUAACACUGACGCUCAUGCACGAAAGCGUGGGGAGCAAACAGGAUUAGAUACCCAAGUAGUCCCUGAGCGGGC